AGCAGCCGCGGUAAUUCCAGCUCCAAUAGCGUAUAUUAAAGUUGCUGCAGUUAAAAAGCUCGUAGUUGAAUUUCGGGAUCAAUAUGUUGGUCGUGCCUCGGUACGUACUAGCUUAUUGGUUUCUCCCUUCUGACGAACCAUGAUGUCAUUUAUUUGGUGUUAUGGGAAAUCAGGACUGUUACUUUGAAAAAUUAGAGUGUUUAAAGCAGGCUCACGCUUGAAUACAUUAGCAUGGAAUAAUGAAAUAGGACGUUUGAUUCUAUUUUGUUGGUUUCUAGGAUCGACGUAAUGAUUAAUAGGGAUAGUUGGGGGCAUUAGUAUUCAAUUGUCAGAGGUGAAAUUCUUGGAUUUAUUGAAGACUAACUACUGCGAAAGCAUUUGCCAAGGAUGUUUUCAUUAAUCAAGAACGAAAGUUAGGGGAUCGAAGACGAUCAGAUACCGUCGUAGUCUUAACCAUAAACUAUGCCGACUAGGGAUCGGAUGAUGUUAAUUUUUAAUGACUCAUUC
rnacentral:misc_RNA from 1 species